CAUGUGAGUUGUUUUAAGUAGCAUACUCACAGGCAUUUUUUUUUCAGUUUUAGUAAUUAUGUAUGUAUUUUCAUCUGUAGUCAGAAAAAUACCUGUUUUUUUUUUCCUAACAUGUUUUAAUGCAUAUUAUUACCUGAGCAAAGAUUGUAAAGUCCAUGCUGAAUACUUAAAAACAUGUCAGUAUUUGUAGAAAAGUCAUGAAGGCGGUGUACACAUGAUGGAAGGCUGAGAAACAAUGUCAUAACCCUUUGUACUCAGGCAUCAGAGGGGGACCAGGCAACUGUCCCUCUCAGCUGAGUGGUGCAUGCUCACAGUGCUGCUGUGCUCACACAGUCCCCAAGUCUGCUUCUCCCUACACAGAGUCCUUCUGGGACUGCUUGAAGGGCAUUUUGCUUUUUGCCCAUAAAAGACUAGCACCAUGAGUCAGAUAGUACUAAGCUGAAAGUUCACUCUCUAAUUCUAUUUCUUAUCACUAAUUAUGCCCAGUCAUGUUGUCCAAAAUAGCUCACCAGACUUUAUGAAAUGAAUACAGAGAACUGUAUCAACAUUAAAAUGUCCCAAAUUUUAACAAUAUGAAACUCAUUUUUGUUACUCAACUUCCCCACAAACUAAAUCCCCUUGCAAAUAAAAGCUCAUAGAAAUUAAAGUCCAAAUGCUCUCACUCUCCAUUUUAUACAAUUGGCUCAGUGUCAGCCAGAGGCUUUUACUCUGAGCCAAGGUUCCUAUAGCUAAAGCUGUGUCCUGGCACAGGAAAGAGUAUAGCUUCUUCAGCCUCCUCAAAGUUGGUUCAAAUCUCUAAUUAGUUCUAGUCUCCAAGGGGUCAGCAGUCAAAAAAGAAACUGCAUAUCCACUAUAGAAGUUGUCACAAAACUGUGGUACCCCAAUUAAGUGACUAAUGUCAUCUGACACUGCUAUCGGCCAAAGAGCACAGCAGAUAACUUAGUAGCACCUAUGCUGGAGACAGCGAGGACCUGGUCUCAGUCCGGUGGCAAGCCAGCCAGCUGCACCCGCACUGAAUCCACGGCCUGUGAAUCUGUAUGACUGAGCAGAAAGUGCUCAUCAAUAGUUGUGCUUCCACAUGUUUAAUAUAGGUAUUCCUUUGCUUUGGCUGUUAUUGUUUUGUUUUGGUGAUGUGUGCGUGGUUUCCCAUAUAUAUAUUACCUAUUUUCUCUCAGAGAGUGACAUUUGAGACAUUAUUGCCUUCUUCAAAAAUGUAGGUAGAUAUUCUGGUUUCUCCAUUUCUUUGUGUCUUGUGUCUCAUGUUUUGGCUACUUUGGUACAAGAUGGUGAGACCACAAGUCUAGAGAAAACUUCUACUCCCAAAUUCUUCCAAGUCUGUUCUCUCCAGAACAGUGAACUGGAACAGUCACUCUCCUUUAUAAACACAUGAGGAAUGGGAUAAUGAACAUCACCCUACUCCCUUAGUACUAUGUUUAACUUACUAGUAUAUGACUUUUUAUUUAUUCUGAAAAUGGUAAUUGUCAUCUCUCUUCCAUAGACGUUUCAUUCCUACCUAGGCAGGUUGAGUUGGGCCAGGCCAAGCAGUAGUUGGCCAGAAUCAAGAAUCUAAGAAAAUAAAAUACUGUGAUCACAGUAAGAGGCAAUGAGUCAGGAUUAGUCUUUUGUCAAGGAGUAAAAGAAGGAUAACAAAGUUUAGCAAAACGUUAAGGAGAUUCUAGAUAUCACAGAUUAAAGUAGUCAAAAGUUAGUAUUCCAAAGAGUUGCACCAUUGAAAAGAUAGAACCUGAGCACAAACCAAAAAGAUUCCAAAAAACUUAAAUUCAGGGCAGAAACUUUUCUAGUCUCUUUUACUCCUUCCUGUCUCCGUAGAAUCGGACUACUGGUGUAAGGAGAGAGAUUGCAGCUGGAAAGGGAGUGGUGCCAAGAGCUGCAGCUGCAAAAAAUCGAGUUUUUUUUCUUCUUUUAUACUUAAAAUUACUACAUACACCUGUUUUAAAAAUCAAGCAGUACAGAGUGAUACCAAGUGAAAAGUAAAUUCUCAGCCUGAACUUGUUCCCCGGCUCAUUUCCAGCUCCCUAUUCUUAAGUAUUUUCUGUUCUCCUGGUGGUUAUCACAGUACCUCUGAAAUAUAUGUUAAUACUUGAUUUCUUCUUUUAUCUUGUUUAUCAACUUUAGAUAGUGUCUAUUGGAAGAUGAGAAACUUAUUUCUUUGAUCCAUCCAUGUCUACGUUUUUCCAGUUACAUUGCUUUGAUAUUUCUGGAAGAGCUCAUCUGUGGAGGUGGACACCGACAGCGAAAGCACUACAUCAUCUGAGGGUGCCACUCGUACCUUGCUCAUCCAUGGCCCUGUUGAGCUCAAGAGAGGCUGGAGGAGGCAGAAGCAGCAGCUUUUCUUGUACAGUGAUUUGUUGCUGAUGUCUAAUACCAAGUAUAAAAAAAACUUUAAGAUAAAAAAGAAAAUACCACUGAACACCAUGUGGAUUGCCAACUGCAUGGAUACAGUGGGAGAUGCCAACAACCAUUCUGGGAGGUCCUUUGUGUUGGGCUGGCCCAUGGUGAACUUUGUGGCCACCUUCAGUUCUUCAGAACAAAAGGAAAAAUGGCGUUCUUACCUUCAAAGGUACAUCAUGCUAGCCAAAGAGAAGGAGCAGCCAAAAAGCAUUCACCUCAAAAUCUUCACAGACGACAAGAACAGUGCCUGUGGCUCUGAGAAAGACUACCAGCUGUGGGCAAGUUCUGGCAAGGAAGAAGUUCCACUAAUUGGACACGAACAUCCCUAUGGAAUUAAAAUGAGCCAUAUUCCAUCUACUAAACCGCUGUCAAAGGAACCAGAGGACUCCAUCUCUCCUUCCACAACUCAAGAGUCCCUCCUUCUGGAGCAGAAGAUCAUAGAGAUGCAAAUUCAGUUCAUGCUGAAGCCCAGGCACCCAGCCCAGAACAAGCAAGGGAGAGGCCAGAAGACCACGAAAAGCAGUGCUUUCAGAAACUUGGCCUUUUGGCGGCACGCUGGCACUUGCCAGAACAACCUGUGCUCAGCUGCUCCUUCUGCAAAACCCAGACAGCUCUUUGGAGUUUCCCUCACACAUAUCUGUGAUAAUGACAACUUGCCCGUCCCAAUUCUGGAUUUUCUUCGAAACACCCAAGGAGGUAUAUUUUCCUUCGACCUCUAUGACAAAUGGCUUGGUGUUAUUAAUGAAGGGACCAAGGAGGAGAAAAUAAAUGCAGCCCAGAGGAAGAGGAAGGCCUCUCGUACCAGCAGAAUCCUGCAUACAUACAAAAAAGAAAAAGCCAUCCACCAUUUCAUAAAACAAAAGCCAAUUAUAGUGUGGAAAAUACAAAUUGCAGAAAACCAGAAGUCAAUAGAAGAAAAACUGCUGGUUUACAUGGCGGAAAGGGCCUUCACUCUGAGCCGUUACUUGGUGGCCGCUGCCAGCACGAAGGCAAGGAGCUGCCGCAGUCCUGGGGGCUGAAUCGCGCCGCCCCUCCGGAAGGGCCGAAAGCAUUCUCCGGGGGUGUGGGGGCCUGGCCAGGCCGAUGAGGGCCGCGAGCGCUUGUCCACACGCUGAGGGUCAUUCACGAAUUUGUCGACAACAGCUUCCUGUACCUUCUCGAUGAGGCGCUACUUAAUCUUGUUGGUGGUGAGUGGAUGUGUCGUCACGGCAAAAAGUAGGAAGUUCUGCUUCUCUGUGGUCAAUCCGCCCUUCUCCACCAGGAUUGGAAAGAAGCGGCAUCUCUGGGUGGUGCAGUGGUUUAGCGCCUGCCUUUGGCCCAGGGUGCGAUCCUGGAGACCCGGGAUCGAAUCCCACGUCGGGCUCCCGGUGCAUGGAGCCUGCUUCUCCCUCUGUCUAUGUCUCUGCCUCUCUCUCUCUGUGACUAUCAUAAAUAAAUAAAAAAUUUUUAAAAAAAAGGGAUUGGAAAGAAGCAAGAGAGUCCAUUCUCACCACAACCACUCAACAUUUUUUUUGAGGUCCUAACCAAUGUAGUAAUGCAAAAAAAGAAAGAAAACAUAAGUAUUGGAAAGAAAAAACUAAAAUUCUCCCAAUUUAUAUAUGAUACAAUUUUUUAUAUAUAAAAUACCAAGGAAUCUAAAUACCCAUUACAACUAUUAAGUGAAUUUAACAAGGUUCCAUACAGGAUACCGAUACAAGUCAAAUACAAAACUAAGUCGUUUUUCUAAAUUUUAGCAAUGAAUAACUUGAAAAUGAAAUAUAAAACCGUAAUAUACAUAAUAAUAAAAAACCCCACUGUCUUCUUAUUAGUGAUGUAUAUCAGGCAACAGAACACUGUUAAGCAAUACAAAGAACAGCUGAUGUAUACAACAAUAUGAAUGCAUCUCCAAAACUUUAAGAUCAGCAAGAAAAACCAGACACACAAUUACAUACAUUUAGUGUAUAACUUCAGUUAUACGAAAAUCUAGAAAUGGCAAACUACUCUAUGGUUUUAGAUUUCACAGCAGUAGUUUCCUGUCGGAAAGGGGGUUGACUGGAAAGGAACAUGAAGGAACUUUCUGGGAUGAGGGAAAAUAUUUACAUCUUGAAAAUGGUGUGGAUGAGAGUCAUGAAUUUGUCAAAACUCUCCAAACUGUACACUUAAGAUCGGUGUAUUUCACUGCAUAUAAAUUUUACAUCAAAAAAAAUUUUAAAAUACAGCUACCUGUGAUUUUCUCCAAGAUCACAAUUCUUUCUGAAAGCCUAACAAUGUAAUUGCACACUCAGACAAGUUGUUUUGUUCAUUUCCGUCAAGGCUUUUGGUUUUGCUGUAGUACCUGGUGUUGACCAUAUUUUGUAUAAUUAACAAAUACUUUUUAAACAUUAUUAAUUUUUCUCUAUCUUAUUAACUUUUGUCACACUUUUUUCAUCACUUGAUAAACAAUAACCAUUUUUGUUGUGGAGCGUCUAGUCAAUAGUAAUGGAGUUGUUUUUAGUGGGGAUUGGUUCCCAUAUAACCU